rnacentral:rRNA from 1 species
UUGGUCAUUUAGAGGAAGUAAAAGUCGUAACAAGGUUUCCGUAGGUGAACCUGCGGAAGGAUCAUUAACGAGUUAGGGUUGGCCCCUCGCGGCCGCCCGAACCUCCCAACCCUUGUGUCUACCAAACCCAAUGUAUGUUGCUUCGGCGGGCCGGUUUUCCCCGUCACACGGGAGACCGCCGGGCCGCUUGCGCCCGGAGAGCGCCCGCCGACGGCCCACACCAAAACUCUUGAACCAAACCAGUGUCGUCUGAAUUCAAAAAAAGUUAAUUAAAAACAAAACUUUCAACAACGGAUCUCUUGGUUCGGGCAUCGAUGAAGAACGCAGCGAAAUGCGAUAAGUAAUGCGAAUUGCAGAAUUCAGUGAAUCAUCGAAUCUUUGAACGCACCUUGCGCCCCUUGGCAUUCCGAGGGGCACGCCUGUUCGAGUGUCGUGAACUCCUCCACCCUCUACCUUUUUCGAAGGGUCAUUGGGCUGGGAUUUGGGAGCUUGCGGGUCCCUGGCCGAUCCGCUCUCCUUGAAUACAUUAGCGAAGCCCUUGCGGCCUUGGUGUGAUAGUCAUCUACGCCUCGGCUUAGCGAACCUGUGGGAGUCGCUUCCAACCGUCCCUCUGCGGACAAUCACUACCAACUUGACCUCGAAUCAGGCGGGACUACCCGCUGAACUUAAGCAUAUCAAUAAG